rnacentral:rRNA from 1 species
UGACCGCUGGCGGCGUGCCUACUACAUGCACGUCGAGCGAACGGACGCGAAGCUUGCUUCUCUGAUGUUAGCGGCGGACGGGUGAGUAACACGUGGAUAACCUACCUAUAAGACUGGGAUAACUUCGGGAAACCGGAGCUAAUACCGGAUAAUAUUUUGAACCGCAUGGUUCAAAAGUGAAAGACGGUCUUGCUGUCACUUAUAGAUGGAUCCGCGCUGCAUUAGCUAGUUGGUAAGGUAACGGCUUACCAAGGCAACGAUGCAUAGUCGACCUGAGAGGGUGAUCGGCCACACUGGAACUGAGACACGGUCCAGACUCCUACGGGAGGCAGCAGUAGGGAAUCUUCCGCAAUGGGCGAAAGCCUGACGGAGCAACGCCGCGUGAGUGAUGAAGGUCUUCGGAUCGUAAAACUCUGUUAUUAGGGAAGAACAUAUGUGUAAGUAACUGUGCACAUCUUGACGGUACCUAAUCAGAAAGCCACGGCUAACUACGUG